UAACCCCUUACUGAAGUAAGGGGCUUGAAGCGCAAGUUUCAAGUCCUUUGUUUUCAAUAGGGAGGCUGGAGAAAUUCAGCUUUCAUUGUCUAGACUAAGCUAUCCAGUUUGCUUCGGCUGACUGGAUAGAGGAACUACGUUAUCCAUGUCAUCACACCCACGGAUGAUGCUCAAGUCUUUGGCUCUGU
rnacentral:sRNA from 1 species